rnacentral:rRNA from 1 species
GACGAACGCUGGCGGCGUGCCUAAUACAUGCAAGUUGAGCGCUGAAGGUUGGUACUUGUACCAACUGGAUGAGCAGCGAACGGGUGAGUAACGCGUGGGGAAUCUGCCUUUGAGCGGGGGACAACAUUUGGAAACGAAUGCCAAUACCGCAUAAAAACUUUAAACACAAGUUUUAAGUUUGAAAGAUGCAAUUGCAUCACUCAAAGAUGAUCCCGCGUUGUAUUAGCUAGUUGGUGAGGUAAAGGCUCACCAAGGCGAUGAUACAUAGCCGACCUGAGAGGGUGGUCGGCCACAUUGGGACUGAGACACGGCCCAAACUCCUACGGGAGGCAGCAGUAGGGAAUCUUCGGCAAUGGACGAAAGUCUGACCGAGCAACGCCGCGUGAGUGAAGAAGGUUUUCGGAUCGUAAAACUCUGUUGGUAGAGAAGAACGUUGGUGAGAGUGGAAAGCUCAUCAAGUGACGGUAACUACCCAGAAAGGGACGGCUAACUACGUG